AUGGUUAUAAAUCAACAUAUUGAUUUAUAAGCAUGGAAAUCCCCUGAGUGAAACAACGAAUUGCUGUGUGUAGUCUUUGCCCAUCUCCCACGAUGGGCUUUUUUUUAA
rnacentral:other from 1 species